CAGACGGCAGCAGAGGGGCAGUCUGACAACAUGGCAUCUGACAUGGAAGUGCAUAUGAAGCAAAGGAGGCAUGAAGUCUGAAGCAACUUAUGUAUAUGCGGCCAAAGGCAAUUCCUCCUCACUCACCGUGGCCCGGGCAAGCCAGAAGGUUCUAGCCCAACCAUCGGCCCACCCCAACCAUGCCCACUGACCACGUCCCUCUGCGCCACAGCCACACGCUGCAGGGAUGGGACUCCCCCCCCUCCCCAGCAGGCUGUGCCACCGCAUGGGAUGGACAGCGGGCACAGCUGGGCGCCCACCUCGGGACACGUGUACAGAAGCAUCGAUGGGACGCAGCCCUCCAGGAGGGGAAAGACGAAGCAGAAAGGCUGAUGGGUCAGCGCGUGCUUUGCCUAUAAGGGGAGCAAAAAUAACAACAGCGCGUUCCGAGCUGCGGUGAAUCGCUCAGGAAAAAAUCUGCAGACGUUCUCCGAAUUGUUUGUUAAAGAAAGAAAUUAAAAAAAAAAAAAAAAAAAAAAA